GGGGCUGUAGCUCAGUGGGAGUAGCGCUUCCUCGGCAUGGAAGAGGUCGAGGGUUCAAAUCCCUCCAGCUCCA
rnacentral:tRNA from 1 species